GAUGAACGCUGGCGGCGUGCCUAAUACAUGCAAGUCGAGCGAACGGACGAGAAGCUUGCUUCUCUGAUGUUAGCGGCGGAAGGGUGAGUAACACGUGGAUAACCUACCUAUAAGACUGGGAUAACUUCGGGAAACCGGAGCUAAUACCGGAUGAUAUUUUGAACCGCAUGGUUCAAAAGUGAAAGACGGUCUUGCUGUCACUUAUAGAUGGAUCCGCGCUGCAUUAGCUAGUUGGUAAGGUAACGGCUUACCAAGGCAACGAUGCAUAGCCGACCUGAGAGGGUGAUCGGCCACACUGGAACUGAGACACGGUCCAGACUCCUACGGGAGGCAGCAGUAGGGAAUCUUCCGCAAUGGGCGAAAGCCUGACGGAGCAACGCCGCGUGAGUGAUGAAGGUCUUCGGAUCGUAAAACUCUGUUAUUAGGGAAGAACAUAUGUGUAAGUAACUGUGCACAUCUUGACGGUACCUAACCAGAAAGCCACGGCUAACUACGUG
rnacentral:rRNA from 1 species